rnacentral:sRNA from 1 species
GCUGGGUGUGGUGGCACAUGCCUAUAAUCCCAGCAGCUUGGGAGCAUGAGGCAGGAGGAUCGAGAGUUCAAAGCCAGCCUCAGCAAUGGCAAGGUGCUAAGCAACUCAGUGAGACCCUGUCUCUA